GAUGAACGCUGGCGGCGUGCCUAAUACAUGCAAGUCGAGCGAACAGACGAGGAGCUUGCUCCUCUGACGUUAGCGGCGGACGGGUGAGUAACACGUGGAUAACCUACCUAUAAGACUGGGAUAACUUCGGGAAACCGGAGCUAAUACCGGAUAAUAUAUUGAACCGCAUGGUUCAAUAGUGAAAGACGGUUUUGCUGUCACUUAUCGAUGGAUCCGCGCCGCAUUAGCUAGUUGGUAAGGUAACGGCUUACCAAGGCAACGAUGCGUAGCCGACCUGAGAGGGUGAUCGGCCACACUGGAACUGAGACACGGUCCAGACUCCUACGGGAGGCAGCAGUAGGGAAUCUUCCGCAAUGGGCGAAAGCUUGACGGAGCAACGCCGCGUGAGUGAUGAAGGUCUUCGGAUCGUAAAACUCUGUUAUUAGGGAAGAACAAAUGUGUAAGUAACUAUGCACGUCUUGACGGUACCUAAUCAGAAAGCCACGGCUAACUACGUG
rnacentral:rRNA from 1 species